ACAGACAGACAGACAAGAGAGAGAGAGAGAUAAGAGAGAGAGGGAGAGAGAGGAAGAAACACUGUGUGUGUGUGUGUUCCACAAGCUGUUACUUCCAACUAAGGGGCUGCCUGGUGUUUUGCAUCUUCCAAAAACUCUUACAGACUUGGUCCAGGAGCAGCGGGCAAAAUCAGUGAUGUUCCGAGGUCUCCAUCCCCGUAUUGUCCCCUUGUCAGAAAGGAGCAAUGAGAAAGUGUCCGACCUCGAGGGCCAGGGAAACAUCCUUUCUACCCAAUCAAAAGGGAAGGGAAGGAUUGGGGAUCCAACAUGGGUCAGGAGUUUGGCCUUCGCGGCUCCUCCUAUGACCCAGGCAGUGCCUCUGCUACUGAUAAAUCUGCCCCCAACCACCACAUCCUGCUGUACCUGCCCUCGCAGCGCUGUCUGUGUUCCUCUCCAAAGGACCACAAAAAUAUAUCCCAGGCCGGACACAGAUUCUAUGACAAUAUCCAAGGAUGUCUUGGAACCUUCCUCUGAUUGGCCCCAAGGAGAAACCACUCAAGUCUGUCCUAAAAAUGCCACUGUGCCUCCAAAAAGGACUUCCAAAGUGCACCCUGCCCUGGCCAGGGAAUCUGAGCUAUUCUCUCAUAAAAGGAUCCCCAACGGCCACUCUGCCCUGGCCAGGGCACCCAAGUCAAGCAUCAACAUUUUAUUGGAAUCCUCCUCCCAGGCGACCGAGGGAGAAGUUUCAGAACCAGGCAAUCCUAGCAAAGCCACUUCUCAGAGAAGAAGGAGCUCCAAAGUCCACCCUGCCCUGGCCAGGGAAUCUCAGAUGUGCCCUCAGAAGAGGGCCUCCAAAGUUCACUCUACCCUGGCCAGGGUAUCCAAGACAUCCUUGGAUAUUGCAUCUGACCCCUUCUCCCAACGAACUGAGGGAGAAGCUUCGAGAAUACAAGGGAUUCCAGUCUGUUCUGGCCAAGCCACUGUUCCAAAGAGGAUCCCCAAAAAUCAUCUUCCUGUGGUCCCUCACUGCAAGCCAUCUUCUCUGAAGACAGACCCCGAACCCUCCACCCCAAGCUCCCAGGAAAAACACUCUGGACCUAAAGAAGCCCCACCCUGGCCUAGAAAAAUAGCCUGGGCUCCUCUGAAAAGAACCACAAAAAGUGCUGCCAUGGCCCCUCCAUCUGAAACUCCUAAGACUGUUCCCCGAACCUUUCACCCCAAAGCCCCAGGAAAAACAUUCUAAACCCCUCACAGCCACCCCACGCUAUCUGAGAAAAACAGCCUGGAAUCCUCCAAAGAGGGCCACCAAAAUUUGUCCUCCUGUGGUCCCUCAAUCCAAGCCAUCUUCUCCCAAGGCAGUCUGUGAAUCCUCCACCCCAAGGCCCCAGGAAAAACAUUCUGGACCUCUAGAAGCCACCCUACCCUGUACCAGAAGAACAUCCUGGGCUUCUCCAAAGAGGACCGUCAAGAUUCUGUGGUCCCUCAAUCCAAACCAUCUUCUCCCAAGACAGUCCCCAAACAAUUGGAAGACUCGGGGUAGUCAGGGCAAACAGAGACAUUAAAAUCAAAGAUGUGGGGUAGUCAGGGCAAAUAUAGACAUUAAAAUAGAAGACUUGGGGGGAUAGUAAGGGUAAUUAUAGACAUUAAAAUAGAAGACUUAGGGUAGUCAGGGCAAAUAUAGACGUUAAAAUUGAAGACUUGGGAUAGUAAGGGUAAUUAUAGACAUUAAAAUAGAAGACUUAGGGUAGUCAGGGUAAAUAAUAGACAUCAAAAUUGAAGACUUGAGGGGGGGUAUAAAGGUAAUUAUAGACAUUAAAAUAGAAGACUUAGGGUAGUCAGGGCAAAUAUAGACAUUAAAAUCAACGACUUGGGGUAUAACAAGGGUCCUUCAGAUACAACCCAAAAAGAUGUGAAGAAAGCUAUUGGGCUGGAGAUGAACCUGUCUGAGGUGCCAACACCUCCAGGCAAAAUGCAGAGAAACAAAUGUGGAUUCCCCCUCCCCAUCUUUCUCCUCCCUCUCCCCCCUCCUUCCCCAGCCUAGCUAGAAGUUGGUUGGAACUUCAAUAGGAACCACAAAAUUCAUCUUCCAGACUUUCAAGUUGAGGUCUGACGCCUAAAGCCUGAGUGAAGCUGGACUGAUUAGGAUGGCAGAGCCAAGAUGGCAGAGGGGAGACAUGACUUUUCCUGAGCUCUCCUGCAUGUCCCUCAAAAUAACAGCAAAUCAAGCCUCUAUUCUGGAUUUGGAGUGAAAGAACCCACAAAUAUUUGGAGUUAAAUAAAUUUCCAGCAGAACAUAAUUUGGAAGAAUGUCAGAAAAAGUCUGUUACAAUCAGGCACUGAGGGAGGCAGCCCGAGCACAUGCAGUACAGAGGACCAGAAAAGAAGCCUGGGCUCCUCCAAAGAGGACCCCCAAAAUUGUCUUCCUGUGGUCCCUCAAUGCAAGCCAUCUUAUCUGAAGGGAGUCUACCAAAAGGAAUCUACAGCAGUGUUGGCUUCUCUGAACUGGUUGUAAGCCAGUAGAUCAGCAGAUAAGCUGGACGUCUUCCAGCUUCCUAAUACAAAAAUCAAAUAGUGAGCCCCUAAACCCCAGAAUAUUGCAGACCCUGGCCACGCACACCCAAAUAUUGGAAGUUAGUCAGCACUGACACAGUGCAGUUACUGUGGCCUCUAGAGGAAGCUUGGACAGUCUCCCCUUUGCCCUCAACCUUUUUUUUAAAAAAAAGCAAAAAAAACUGAAUUGUUGUAGAGAAAGAGAACAGAUUUCAAACCUGAGGACAUUAAAAGCAGAUCAUCUCCAUAUGAAACUCCAAAGGGUGAUAUGAAUUGUUUGCCAUCUCGUAAGGCUCUCUUGGAAGAAUUCAAAAAUCUUAAAAGAGUCAGAAGAAAAAUGGGAAAAGGAAAUGAAAACUUUGCAAGAGGGUUGAGAAAACACAGAAAUCAUCUGAAGAAAACUAUUUGCAAAAUAGAUUGAGUGAAAUAGAAAAAGCAUAUAAAAUCCUUACAAAAUAAGAUUUGACAAAAUGGAAAACUUGAAAACUGAAUUUGUGAAAUGGAAAGAAAUGCAUUCAAACAAAACAACUCAUUUAAAAAUUCAAUUGGCCAAAUAGAAAAGGAGCUAAAAAAGGUAACAGGAAAAUAAUUUAUUUAGAAUUGAACAAAUCCAAAUGAAUGACUCAAUGAGACAUCAAGAGUCAAAUAAAACCAAAGAAAAAUUGAAAAAAAGGGAAGAAAAUGUAAAAUACUUCAUUGGAAAAACGGAUCUGCAAAAUAGAUCUGGGAGAGACAAUCUUAAGGAUUAUUGAACUUCCUGAAAACUCUGCUGAGCAAAGUUUAGAUAUCAUCUUUCAGGAAAUCAUCAAGGAAAAACUAUCCUGGUGUCCUAGAACCAGAAGGUAAAAUAGCCAUUAAAAGGAUUCACCUAUCACCUCCUGAAAGAGACCCCAAAAUGAAAACUCCAAGGCACAUCAUAGCUAAAUUUCAGAAUUAUUGGAUCCUGGAAAAAAUAUUGCAAGCAGCCAGAAGCAAACAAUUCAAAUAUUGAGGAGCCAUAAUCAGAAUCAAUCGAGAUCUGGCAGCUUCCACCUUAAAGGUUCAAAGGGCUGGAAUCUGACAUUCACCAAAGCAAAGGAACUUGCUCUGCAGCCAAGAAUCAACUCUCCAGCUAAACUGAGUAUUAUCUUUCAGGGAAGAAGAUGGACAUUGGAUGAUACAGGUGAAUUUCACUUAUUUCUGAAGAAAAGACCAGAGCUGAAGAAGAAUUUUGACCUCCAAAUACAGAACUCCAGAGAAGCAUUAAAAGAACUGCUUUGUUUUAGAAAAAAACCAAGACUAUCAAGGUUCACCUGUGAGGAAGAGCUUCCUGGUACCCAGAAAAUGGACCAAGUUAACAGCCAGCACUCUUAAGUCAGAAGAAGGAUAAGCUGUUCCCAGAUGGAUGGCUAACUCACCCAACGGCCCAAGUCAAAGUGUCCACUAUCAAACCAAUGGAAUAUUGAAGAAUCUUGCCCAGUUAAGUGGGAAAGACUUGGUCCCGGAGCAGCAGAAAAGCUUAUUCAAGAAGGCAAAAUCACUGAUAUUCCAAGAUCCCCCUCACCAUAUUGCACCUUUGUCAAUAAGCAACAAUGAGCAAGUAUCCCACCUCGAGGACCAAGAGGACAGCAUUCCUGCCAGGUCAACAACCCAGGAGAAGGACACUGGGGACCCGCUGAGUUUCGUGCUUUCUCCUAUGACUCUGGCAGUGCCUUUAAUCCUGGUGGAACCAUUCUCUCCUGUUUUCUCCAAGGAUCCUCAGAAAGCCACCCCAGCCUGUCCUUUGUCAUGACAAAGCCAGUGCUCCUCCCAAAAGGACCUCCAAGACAGUCCUCGAACCCUCCUCAGAAUGCCCCAGGGAGAAGGUUCUGGACCCCAAGAAGCCACCCCAGCUUGUCCUGACAAGACUGAUGGUGUUCCUCUGAAGAAACGGCCAAAGUCUAUCCUGAUCUAGCCACCGAAUCGAAGACAUCCCCGAGAUCGCCCCCGAAUCCUCCUUCGAAUGUCCCAGGGCAAUGAUUCUGGACCCCCAGCAUGUUCUGAAAGCCAGUGCUCCUCUGAAGACAACCAAAGUCCAUCCUGCCUUGGCCUCCCAAUCUGAAACUACUCCCAAAGGCCCUAGGGCAAAAGUUCUGGGCAACAAGGUCCAUUUGGGGUAUUUUUAAAAAAUUAUUUUCUGGAGGAUUCUAGAAAGGUGGUUGGGAAUAGACGGUUAGUUCCAGCUCUCCCGAUAUGUGAUGAUGGUUACUAAGGACAGUAACCAUGGACCCCUCCCAGAGGAAGAUGGAGGGGGAAGAUGAGGCUAUCAUGAAUGUCUCUCAUCCAGGCGGUUUUUCCUAAAAUAAAGACCAAAGAACAUUUUCCCCCAA